CGGGAUGCGUAUCGGAAAGCUUCGGCCGGAAGAUACGUUAUCUAGUGGCGGACGGGUGAGUAACACGUGGGUAACCUGCCUUAUGGAGGGGGAUAACAGAGAGAAAUCACUGCUAAUACCGCAUAAGCACACAGUACCGCAUGGUACAGGGUGAAAAGAUUUAUCGCCAUAAGAUGGACCCGCGUCUGAUUAGCCAGUUGGCAGGGUAAAAGCCUACCAAAGCAACGAUCAGUAGCCGAUCUGAGAGGAUGACCGGCCGCAUUGGGACUGAGACACGGCCCAAACUCCUACGGGAGGCAGCAGUGGGGAAUAUUGCACAAUGGGGGAAACCCUGAUGCAGCGACGCCGCGUGAGUGAAGAAGUAUUUCGGUAUGUAAAGCUCUAUCAGCAGGGAAGAUAAUGACAGUACCUGACUAAGAAGCCCCGGCUAACUACGUGCCAGCAGCCGCGGUAAUACGUAGGGGGCAAGCGUUAUCCGGAUUUACUGGGUGUAAAGGGAGCGUAGACGGCAUGGCAAGUCUGAAGUGAAAUACCCGGGCUCAACCUGGGAACUGCUUUGGAAACUGUUGUUCUAGAGUGUUGGAGAGGUAAGUGGAAUUCCUGGUGUAGCGGUGAAAUGCGUAGAUAUCAGGAAGAACACCGGAGGCGAAGGCGGCUUACUGGACAAUAACUGACGUUGAGGCUCGAAAGCGUGGGGAUCAAACAGGAUUAGAUACCUUGGUAGUCCACGCUGUAAACGAUGAAUACUAGGUGUCGGGGUGCAAAGCAUCUCGGUGCCGUCGCU
rnacentral:rRNA from 1 species